CAUGGUGUAGGCUCAACAGACCUGUUAAGAAACAGGAUCAAAUAUAAACUAACCAAAUGCUUCCAAUAUCAGAAAACAAACAAUUUGGGUUUCCUGUUUUCUGCUUUUUAGUUCCCUGUCACAACUUAUUUUCUGCUAUUAGUUUUCUCACUGUUUUCCUACCAAAACAAGAUCUACACACUAACAAACAUCAAACGUAGAACUCAAUAUUGCACGGUUAACGCCUCAAAUCACACAACCACCAAACUACACCUAACUUGAAGCUACAUAGUACCAGAACUUAACGAAUGGGGAAAAACAAACCAAAUCAAACCAAAUCAAAUCAAAACGUAAUGCAGCUAACAUGAUCUUCAAAAUUUCAAUGAAGCACAGAUUUUCUCUUGUUUGAGAUAAAACUCGAUUUAAAUAAGCUUGAAAUCGUUCACUAAACAGCAAAACAGAGUAUCAACAACAAAUUCCUAGAGAACAUCGAGAGUUAACAUUGAACAAACAGAAAGAGACAAGGAAAGAAAUCAAGAAGCAGAUCUGGAAAGGAAAUUGGAGUAGUUAAAGUGGUG
rnacentral:misc_RNA from 1 species